CCUGAGAAACCCGAAAGAUCGAAUGGGGAGACUCAUCGUCAGCGGAGUCGGCUUCCUUGUGGUUCGCGAUGUUUGAGACGGUACAUAUCGUAUUUGUCAAUUUCACGCGUCCACUGAGGUAUGCUCGGCUACGUCGGCGUGCACUUCUCCCCUAGUAGAACGUCGCGACCCGCUGGGUGUCGGUUUAAGGACCGAGGUCGUCGACUGUCCCGUCGUUUCGGCGCACGGGGCAGACGCUCGGACUCCCGACCGGCUGCUCGGCGGUAAGCCCAUGGUAUUGAGCCGCACUUUGAAUGCGUUCAGACCCGUCGCAAGCUCGACCCAUGCUGGAUGUACGGACCUGGCGCCGUACUUUGGCAUUGGGUUGGCUGUUGGCCGUCGGUGUUCUCGAACAGGCUAAAAUUUGUUGAAUCGAACGAUACCGGUCGGCGACGCUAUUGCUUUGGGUACUUUCAGGACCCGUCUUGAAACACGGACCAAGGAGUCUAACAUGUGCGCGAGUCAUUGGGAUUAUUAAAACCUAAAGGCGCAUUGAAAGAGAAGAUCGGCCUCGCGUCGAUUCAGGGAAGAUGGGUAACGUUUUUAUGUUGCUCCGCAUUCCCGGGGCGUCUCGUUGUCAUUGCGACUUGAGGCGCACCCAGAGCGUACACGUUGGGACCCGAAAGAUGGUGAACUAUGCCUGGUCAGGAUGAAGUCAGGGGAAACCCUGAUGGAGGUCCGUAGCGAUUCUGACGUGCAAAUCGAUCGUCGGAACUGGGUAUAG
rnacentral:rRNA from 1 species